rnacentral:tRNA from 1 species
ACCUGGCUGGCUCAGGUGAUAGGGCAUGAGACUCUUGAUCUUGGGGUCAUGAGUUCAAGCCGCAUGUUGGGUU